rnacentral:ncRNA from 1 species
GUGCGUAAAGUGUCCGCCGUACGGGGAGUUGACGGCGGAACGAAAAGAAAAAGCGUUUUUCGGUUUUUCUUGCGGUGCGGCUUUCGCAUCCCGCUG